rnacentral:tRNA from 1 species
CCCAUUGUCGUGCAGCGGUUAGGGUAUCUGGCUUUCACCAGAGAUCCGGGUUCGAUUUCCGGUAAUGGAA